rnacentral:rRNA from 1 species
GCUAAUACCGAAUAUGACCUCCGAUCGCAUGGUUGGUGGUGGAAAGUUUUUCGGCUUGGGAUGGGCUCGCGGCCUAUCAGCUUGUUGGUGGGGUGAUGGCCUACCAAGGCGACGACGGGUAGCCGGCCUGAGAGGGCGACCGGCCACACUGGGACUGAGACACGGCCCAGACUCCUACGGGAGGCAGCAGUGGGGAAUAUUGCACAAUGGGCGGAAGCCUGAUGCAGCGACGCCGCGUGAGGGAUGACGGCCUUCGGGUUGUAAACCUCUUUCAGCAGGGACGAAGCGUAAGUGACGGUACCUGCAGAAGAAGCGCCGGCCAACUACGUGCCAGCAGCCGCGGUAAGACGUAGGGCGCGAGCGUUGUCCGGAUUUAUUGGGCGUAAAGAGCUCGUAGGCGGCUUGUCGCGUCGA